CCUACGGGGGGCAGCAGUGAGGAAUAUUGGUCAAUGGGCGAGAGCCUGAACCAGCCAAGUCGCGUGAAGGAUGACGGCCCUACGGGUUGUAAACUUCUUUUGUCAGGGAGCAAUUGGGUCCACGCGUGGGCUUAGCGAGAGUACCUGAAGAAAAAGCAUCGGCUAACUCCGUGCCAGCAGCCGCGGUAAUACGGGGGAUGCGAGCGUUAUCCGAAUUUAUGGGUUUUAAAGGGUGCGUAGUCGGAAGAUCAAGUACGCGGGAAAAUUGAGAGGUGCAACCUCUUGGAGCCGUUGAAACUGGUUUUCUUGAGUGAGUGAGAAGUAUGCGGAAUGCGUGGUGUAGCGGUGAAAUGCAUAGAUAUCACGCAGAACUCCGAUUGCGAAGGCAGCAUACCGGCGCUCAACUGACGCUCAUGCACGAAAGUGUGGGUAUCGAACAGGAUUAGAUACCCGUGUAGUC
rnacentral:rRNA from 1 species